rnacentral:rRNA from 1 species
UACGUAGGGGGCAAGCGUUGUCCGGAUUUAUUGGGCGUAAAGAGCGUGUAGGCGGUUCGGUAGGUCCGUUGUGAAAACUCGAGGCUCAACCUCGAGACGCCGAUGGAAACCCCCGAACUAGAGUCCGGAAGAGGCGAGUGGAAUUCCUGGUGUAGCGGUGAAAUGCGCAGAUAUCAGGAGGAACACCAAUGGCGAAGGCAGCUCGCUGGGACGUGACUGACGCUGAGACGCGAAAGCGUGGGGAGCAAACAGG